UACAGAGGUCCCAAGCGUUGUUCGGAUUCACUGGGCGUAAAGGGUGCGUAGGUGGCCAGGUAAGUUUGGUGUGAAAGCUCGGAGCUCAACUCCGAAAUGGCAUUGAAUACUAUCUGGCUGGAGGGUCGGAUGGGAGACUGGAAUUCUCGGUGUAGCAGUGAAAUGCGUAGAUAUCGAGAGGAACACCAGUGGCGAAGGCGAGUCUCUGGACGACACCUGACACUGAGGCACGAAAGCUAGGGGAGCAAACAGG
rnacentral:rRNA from 1 species